rnacentral:rRNA from 1 species
GAUGAACGCUGGCGGCGUGCCUAAUACAUGCAAGUCGAGCGAACAGACGAGGAGCUUGCUCCUCUGACGUUAGCGGCGGACGGGUGAGUAACACGUGGAUAACCUACCUAUAAGACUGGGAUAACUUCGGGAAACCGGAGCUAAUACCGGAUAAUAUAUUGAACCGCUUGGUUCAAUAGUGAAAGACGGUUUUGCUGUCACUUAUAGAUGGAUCCGCGCCGCAUUAGCUAGUUGGUAAGGUAACGGCUUACCAAGGCAACGAUGCGUAGCCGACCUGAGAGGGUGAUCGGCCACACUGGAACUGAGACACGGUCCAGACUCCUACGGGAGGCAGCAGUAGGGAAUCUUCCGCAAUGGGCGAAAGCCUGACGGAGCAACGCCGCGUGAGUGAUGAAGGUCUUCGGAUCGUAAAACUCUGUUAUUAGGGAAGAACAAAUGUGUAAGUAAAUAUGCACGUCUUGACGGUACCUAAUCAGAAAGCCACGGCUAACUACGUG